rnacentral:lncRNA from 1 species
CAGGGAUCAAACUCAAGACCUCGGCCUUGCAAGCAAGCCUUUUACUGACUGAGAUACCUCCUCAGCCCUCAAUUUUAAAUUAAUUUGAGAACAGAUCAAGCAUGAAAAGAUGGAAGAACUUACUUCAGUGGAAUUAGGGCCAGGGCACUUGACUGUGUGCCCAGCCUGGGACUUGCUAUGGAGUCACAUAGGCAGGCCCCCACUUGGAUCUUAGACACGUCUUUAACUGGGAUAAAACCCAAGGCCUUGCACAGGCCAGGCAAGUACUCGACCUCUUCUCAGGUGCCUAAUUAAAAGACUUCCUGGGUAAGAUGUUGCCGUCCUGAGGAAGAUGGCCAAAUUCAAAAUAAGCAGAUCCACCAGACUUACGGGGAAUACAGGUGAGAGUACAGGAGUGGAGAUGACUCAAGGACAUUUACAUCACCAAAGGCCACUUCAUGAAUGACAGCUCAUGAAAGCUGGAACACAAUUCACAACUUGAAGGCAGCUCAACAGGGCCAGAUGAGGGAGCACCACCUGUAAUCAGCCCUGGAAUAAGAUGGAAACUGGAGGCAGGAGAAUCUGCCUGAAAACUAUGGGCCAGCCUCCUGCAGUAUUCUAUACAGCAGUGGAAACAGGAAGAGAGACUCAAAAGAGCAGGGAAGAUGGCAACCGGCUUCUGAAAGCUCUCUGACCUUCAUGUGCUUACACACAAGGGAGAGGUCUCUGUUACACCCAUAUCACAAAGGAAAUGAAGCUACUGUUGUUGGCUUCCAGUGGACUACAGCUAGGGGAACAUCCUUGGGGACCAAAAUCCACACACCCUGAAAUGUCAACAUCAACAAAACAUUGG